GAGAGAGAGAGAGAGAGAGAUCAAUUUUCAAUGAUGUCACACAGUUUUUGGUAUUUAUUACCCAACAAGUAAUUUAUUUCUUAUUGAAAUUGUUAAUAUUGUUACUAUGUUACUACAAACAACAUGAAAAAUAUAAAGUAUUAAAUGAUUCUAUCAUAGUCAUGAAAGAAAAAUGACUUAGUUAUUAUAUAUAUAUAUAGUGUUAUCAAAGGCAUGAGAGGUGCCCAG
rnacentral:misc_RNA from 1 species